CCUACGGGAGGCAGCAGUGGGGAAUAUUGCACAAUGGGGGAAACCCUGAUGCAGCGACGCCGCGUGGGUGAAGAAGUAUUUCGGUAUGUAAAGCCCUAUCAGCAGGGAAGCAAAAUGACGGUACCUUACUAAGAAGCACCGGCUAAAGACGUGCCAGCAGCCGCGGUAAUACGUAUGGUGCAAGCGUUAUCCGGAUUUACGGGGGGUAAAGGGAGCGCAGGCGGCACGCUAGGCCUGAUGUGAAAACCCGCGGCCCAACCGCGGGAGGGCAGUGGAAACUGGCGAGCUGGAGUAGCGGAGGGGCAGGCGGAAUGCCUGGUGUAGCGGUGAAAUGCGUAGAUAUUAGGAGGAACACCAGUGGCGAAGGCGGCCUGCUGGACGGAGACUGACGCUGAGGCUCGAAAGCGUGGGGAGCAAACAGGAUUAGAUACCCUGGUAGUC
rnacentral:rRNA from 1 species